rnacentral:rRNA from 1 species
UGCAAAUGUUUUCUUGGGCCGGAUGGAGAUUGGCCUUGAGUACAAAGAUAGAAGGGAGCUUGACUGCAUAAAUAUUAUUUAAUAAAACAGAAAAAUAUGUUUUAUC